CCUACGGGCGGCUGCAGUAAGGAAUAUUGGUCAAUGGACGAAAGUCUGAACCAGCCAUCCCGCGUGCAGGAUGAAAGCCCUAUGGGUUGUAAACUGCUUUUAGCAGAGCAGAAAAGCUUUCAUUAAUGAGAGUCUGACGGUAUCUGCAGAAUAAGCACCCGCUAACUCCGUGCCAGCAGCCGCGGUAAUACGGAGGGUGCGGGCGUUAUCCGGAAUUACUGGGGUGUAGGGGUGCGUUUAAGUAAGUGGUGAAAUCUUGUGGCUUAACGAUAGAAUUGCCAAUGAUACUGGUAGUCUUGAGUUGGGUUGAGGUUAGCGGAAUGUGACAUGUAGCGGUGAAAUGCAUAGAUAUGUGAUGGAACACCAAUUGCGAAGGCAGCUAACUGGGCCUUGAUUGACGCUGAGGCACGAAAGCGUGGGUAGCGAACAGGAUUAGAUACCCUAGUAGUC
rnacentral:rRNA from 1 species